UACGGAGGGUGCAAGCGUUAUCCGGAUUCACUGGGUUUAAAGGGUGCGUAGGAGGGCAGGUAAGUCAGUGGUGAAAUCUCCAAGCUUAACUUGGAAACUGCCGUUGAUACUAUCUGUCUUGAAUAUUGUGGAGGUGAGCGGAAUAUGUCAUGUAGCGGUGAAAUGCUUAGAUAUGACAUAGAACACCAAUUGCGAAGGCAGCUCGCUACUCAAUCAUUGGCUCUGAGGCACGAAAGCGUGGGGAUCAAACAGG
rnacentral:rRNA from 1 species